GGCUGUGUGGUCUAGUGGUAUGAUUCUCGCUUAGGGUGCGAGAGGUUCCGAGUUCAAUUCUCGGUACAGUCC
rnacentral:tRNA from 1 species